UACAGAGGUCCCAAGCGUUGUUCGGAUUCACUGGGCGUAAAGGGCGCGUAGGUGGCUUGGUAAGUUUGAUGUGAAAUCUCCGGGCUUAACCCGGAAAUGGCAUUGAAUACUAUUGAGCUGGAGGUUUGGAGGGGGGACUGGAAUUCUCGGUGUAGCAGUGAAAUGCGUAGAUAUCGAGAGGAACACCAGUGGCGAAGGCGAGUCCCUGGACAACACCUGACACUGAGGCACGAAAGCUAGGGGAGCAAACAGG
rnacentral:rRNA from 1 species